rnacentral:rRNA from 1 species
UACGUAGGGUGCAAGCGUUGUCCGGAAUUAUUGGGCGUAAAGAGCUCGUAGGCGGUUUGUCACGUCGGAUGUGAAAAUCCGGGGCUUAACCCCGGACCUGCAUUCGAUACGGGCUGGCUAGAGUUCGGCAGGGGAGACUGGAAUUCCUGGUGUAGCGGUGAAAUGCGCAGAUAUCAGGAGGAACACCGGUGGCGAAGGCGGGUCUCUGGGCCGAUACUGACGCUGAGGAGCGAAAGCGUGGGGAGCGAACAGG